AGUGACGGGGAUGCGUUUAAAGGCAGCAUCGAUCAGCCAUUUUACUUUGAUGUGUUCAAGUGCGCCUCAUUGUGGGAAAGUCGCUAGUUUAAAUGCUACAAGUGGCUAAUCUUGGUUUGUGUAUUUUAGUGCCUGUGAGACUCCUGUUUUCCCAUGUAAUGUUAUAAUGUGCUACAAUUAAUGUUAUAGUUAAGUCUGAUGUUAAAGAACCUUUGAGUUUUAAGGGUCACUCCGGGAGUGGGAAGCCGUGUAGUAAAAGUGCAAAGCUAAACCAAUCUAAACCUUGGAAAUGAGUUUUAACGAUAUGAAUGUUCAUAUUAGUAAUAUCGCCUGAAAUGUCACAAUUCUGUCAGAAGUAAAACAGUGUUAUGUGCUUGUUUUUCUGCAUGAUAGCGAAGUGGGAUGAAAGCGGGCUCGUGUCGAUGCAGUGAGACCUUCACCUGCCACCCAAGUGCCACCUGGAAAUAAAGCCAAACGCAGGACAAGCAAGCAGGCUGACAAACCGAAGUUGCCCGCCACAGCCACAAGAGGGCGCUUCAGAUGGAGGCGACCUACAGGUCUGAGCUCCACCUGAUGGGGAGCAGAGCGACGACCCGGCUGAAGCGACUCGGAGUCACAGCUUGCGAAUCACCGGCAGAGGACUGCGAGUAGACACCGGAAAUGUACCGGAAAACGUUUCGGUUUCCACAUUUGUGGCAAAUGAUCAAUAUUGUCACUGAUGUUCUUUCUGAUAUGAACGGUCAUCAAAAUUCUUUCCAAUUAAUUUUGUAGUAAUUGUUGCACCUCUAAUCUUCUGCAUGUCUUAUUUUCAUUGUUGCAGUGAUCAAAAGUACUUCUCACUCAGCACAGAUUCUACUUUACUUUGACUUAACACAGUAAAAUGUAGAAAAACCUCUGAGGAGCUUUUUCACUGUGGACAUGCUGCCCUCUUGUGGCGCUGAAGGAAAUUGCACGUAGUUAAUGGCCUCACAUCUCACCUACAGUAAAAACAGCUAUGUUUAUCCAUUAAUUAUUAGAGCAUGGACCAAACUGACAUUUGGUAUUAGCCUCAGGUUUGUUAAGAGAGCUCAAAAACAUCCCCUUAAGCUUUGUGAAAAUUCACUGAAGUUGAGCAAUCAGUGCAUCUCCAAAAUUACAAAAUAGUCUCUUGGUACCAUACUCACACAAAGUUGGCCAUUUUGAAUUGUGGUGGUUUUUUAAUCGUAAUGCACACAAAUGUUUACAGAAGCAGUUGUUUUGUUAAACCAAUGUGCAUCAGUAUGAAUAGAAGGCGUUUUUUUUUUAGUUUUUUUUCUGUUUUGUAUUUUGUAUUAUUAACUUUUUGUACUAUCAUUUAGAUGUUUGUGUACAGGAAUAAUUAAGUUUUGCUCACGUUAACAGUUACACAAGUCUAGAGUGUGAUUUCACUGAUUCGUCUACAUCCUGCAUCGUCAGAAGUAAUUUACAGUGUGCUGUCAUUCUGUUGCUGCUGUCAUUGUAAUACUUUUAUUUACAUCUGACCCAUAAGUGUGGCUUGUGUUUAGGUUAUUAUGCUGCUUAUAAAUGUAGUGAAGUAAAGGGUAACAAUGGUUAAAAAAAACGAUCAAUCAUAGUGGAGUGGAAGUGUGAAGAAACUCGUUAGAGCUUAAUUUAAACGCAGCAAAAUACAAACUCUCCACAAGACGGCGCCAUUUCACACCUCACGGCCCAUCCCGCCUUAUAUUUCUUCCUAACGUGCUAUGAGUUUAGUAAAGCUAACCUUGAUGUUUCACAAUAUAGCUUCCUGAAUACGCCGAAAAUGAGUCAGGUCACAAUUUAGGUUCCUUCGUGAGUUAUUGUACAUUUUUAGAUUAAGUUUAAAUGUAACUUGCUCGCAGGUGUAUGGUAGUGUUUUUUUUCACGUUGAACUGUUUUUUAAUGCAAAUUUUACUGCAAAACUUAAAAAAUACGUGUCGCACCUGUUCCCGUGUACAAAAUGCUUCAAACAGGGAUUGGACUGCGCAUUUGCUUUUGUUUUGAAACGGCGGAAGUACUUCCUCUAACUGUAACACACAGUUUGACAGGGUCACGCUGCAAAUCCAGCCGGAUGUUUUGAGUCGCCAAUGUGUGAUGGGAACAUUUCCUCGUUUUGUUUGUUUGUUUGUUUGUUUUAAAUAAAAACUUCUCCAGCGGCGGCCAUUGAUCAGCGAAGUGGGAUGAAAGCGGGCUCGUGUCGAUGCAGCGAGACCUUCACCUGCCACCUGGAAAUAAAGCCAAACGCAGGACAAGCAAGGAGGCUGACAAACCGAAGUUGCCCGCCACAGCCACAAGAGGGCGCUUCAGAUGGAGGCGACCUACAGGUCUGAUCUCCACCUGAUGGGGAGCAGAGCGACGACCCGGCUGAAGCGACUCGGAGUCACAGCUUGCGAAUCACCGGCAGAGGACUGCGAGUAGACACCGGAAAUGCACAGGAAAACGUUUCGGUUUCCAC